AUUGAACGCUGGCGGCAGGCCUAACACAUGCAAGUCGAGCGGAUGACGGGAGCUUGCUCCUUGAUUCAGCGGCGGACGGGUGAGUAAUGCCUAGGAAUCUGCCUGGUAGUGGGGGACAACGUUUCGAAAGGAACGCUAAUACCGCAUACGUCCUACGGGAGAAAGCAGGGGACCUUCGGGCCUUGCGCUAUCAGAUGAGCCUAGGUCGGAUUAGCUAGUUGGUGGGGUAAUGGCUCACCAAGGCGACGAUCCGUAACUGGUCUGAGAGGAUGAUCAGUCACACUGGAACUGAGACACGGUCCAGACUCCUACGGGAGGCAGCAGUGGGGAAUAUUGGACAAUGGGCGAAAGCCUGAUCCAGCCAUGCCGCGUGUGUGAAGAAGGUCUUCGGAUUGUAAAGCACUUUAAGUUGGGAGGAAGGGCAGUAAGCUAAUACCUUGCUGUUUUGACGUUACCGACAGAAUAAGCACCGGCUAACUCUGUGCCAGCAGCCGCGGUAAUACAGAGGGUGCAAGCGUUAAUCGGAAUUACUGGGCGUAAAGCGUGCGUAGGUGGUUUGUUAAGUUGGAUGUGAAAGCCCCGGGCUCAACCUGGGAACUGCAUCCAAAACUGGCAAGCUAGAGUACGGUAGAGGGUGGUGGAAUUUCCUGUGUAGCGGUGAAAUGCGUAGAUAUAGGAAGGAACACCAGUGGCGAAGGCGACCACCUGGACUGAUACUGACACUGAGGUGCGAAAGCGUGGGGAGCAAA
rnacentral:rRNA from 1 species